GGAGAGGUGCCUGAGUGGUUUAAAGGAGCUGGUUGCUAACCAGCGCCCCUUCGGGGGCUCGUGGGUUCAAAUCCCACCCUCUCCG
rnacentral:tRNA from 4 species